UCAGCGGACACAGGACCGGAGUCCUGCAGAACCUCACAGCCGAGGAGUUUGAGAACCUCGAGAAGGCUGACGGCGGUCUCUUUCUGAUCAAUGUGAAGCAGCACAAACCUGCCUCCGCUUUCGGACUCGCUAAGCUGGCCGUCACCAAGCUGGAGCUGAAGUGGCUGAAAGCUUUCUGAGGAAGCAUAUGCUGGGAUAUGAGACUUCUGUGGGGUGGCUUUUCUUUUCUGGCACACAGGCCAGGAUUUCUGCGCAUGUCAAGCUUGCCCUGCGGGCACUCGUGGGAAGGGACAUCACUGUGUGGGGCACCCGCACGGCUCUAGCAACCUACUGCGAACGCAAUCUGUCUGACGAAUGGCGCAUGCUCGUGACCAAAACGAUGUGCCACAGCAAGGAGCUGAGUCGUGGAGUCGUGAGCGCUUCAUUAAAAAGUUUGAACUGAAUUCCGCUUGUCUGAAUAUUUUGACAUGUCCAAAUGUACAGUAGCAUCACUCAUGGCAAGACCAUACAGCCGAAAUGUCCUGUCCUUUUUUUUUGUUGUUUUUUUUUUUUUUUUUAAAGUACAUGGACUGAGCUCCGGGCAGUGGGUGAAGUUCGCAGGCUUUGCCCGGGGAGACAGAGUCAUCCUGGGCAUACACUCGUCAGCUCCAGAAUGAUCACCGCUGAAUUUUUUCCUCGUUGAUUAUAAUGGUUUAUGCGUUCCUAGUCAGGGCAAGCUACUGUUUGUUGCACCUCUUCCAUCCUCCUCCACGGUCUGAAGCCAGCUGCAGCCACCUUUUCAUCACCGUCACAAUCUCAGCACUUGUUGCCCUUGAUGCUAAUGGGUUCUUUCGGACAGUAUCUAAUGAACAUGAGGCAAAACAGUUGACAACUUCUGCAAUUCGAAACACGCUAAAAAGGCUAUUUAUACUUCUACGUCAGACCUUUGCGUUGCCUGAUGUGCACCUCUAAAGAAAACUGUAAUAACGCGUCGUGUGUAUGCAGACAACAGUUGUGAUUGGUCCUUUGUGCAAACAGAGACCCUCCCCGGGAUGAUAAAUAUAUCUGCAGUAAUUUCAUAUUCACUGAGAAUAAAUGUAAUGAAGCAGAUUGCUUGUAGCUUAUAAUAAAAGUGCUGAGGCUUAUUACACACAGACGGGUUGAACAUAGGGAUGCACGAUUAUGGCCAAAAUGAUAAUCCUGAUUAUUU